GCAGGCGACUGUUACUGCCAACACAUCCGUGCAUGGCCGGGCUGAAAUCAGGAGCCGUUCAGCUCAGGUGCAAGAUCUAAACGUAACUGGCAAAUACACUGCACUGAGGCCUCACGUCAUCACGAAGGGGAAGUUCAAGGCACGUCUGCAAUGCCUCCACAUCUACACAGAGAUUGCCAUCUGCAGCAGCCGUCCAAAACUGGAGACGCUUGAGGUAAUGAAAAUGGAAGGACUCAGCCUCAUGUCUGCAAAAGGCAUGACUGUGUUCCUGAACUGGAUGCUGCUCACUGUGAUUGACAACUUCGUAAACCGCAACCAGGCACAGCUGUUCAGAAUGAUACGAGAAGCCUCAUGGAAAGCUUUUGCAGUGCAUGUGAUGAGUGUUCUGCCUCAUCUUGAUGUAAGGUAUAUUACAAAGAAGCAGCCAUGCCACCAUGAAGAACUAAACUGAAAGUCUUAAGAAAACAGCCAUGGGAACCUUGUGGUCCAUUGAUUACGAAUUACUAGAAAAUGCCAAACCAACUAU